CCUUUCUCUCUGACUUUGUGUUUGUAUUCCAGCCGAUUCUCUCUCCUCUUUCUCUUUUUUCUCUCACUCUUUAGUCAACUUUUUAGGGUUUGAUAUUGUGGGAAUUUUUAGACAUUCAUCAAUGGCGAAAAUUAGGGAUAUGGAUGAGGAUUCAAGGAUGUUUUCGCUGAGUAUAAUUAGCUGAAGCCGAAUAAUUCGACGCCAAAAGCCUGCCCGCGGGUGGUGGUCGAGAAGGAGAAGCUUCAACGGCAUUGUUUCCCUAUCCACAUGUUACUCCUUUAAUUUCGCCAUCUUUUCUCGUACAAUCGGGUUUCAAUUUCUUCUUUUACAAGAUCGUUCAUGUGUAGUUCUAAAUUAAACCAAUUUUGAUUUUUUUUUGCAUUGAAUUUAGAGUUUUUUUUGGGUGAUUGAUUGAUCAAGAGGGGAAGAGAGAGAAGGUUGUUUGAAUAAAUGAUCGUUGGAGUUUUUUUCCGGGAAAAAUGAGUGCUUCGAGGUUCAUAAAAUGUGUUACAGUUGGUGAUAGUGUCGUUGGUAAAAUUUGCUUGUUGAUUUCUUACAACAACAAUGAGUCUGUGAGGUAAGUUCAACAUUAGAAUUGAGUUAGUGACAUCUAACUGUCAUAAUGCUGAAAAGAAAGUGUUGUUGUUUGUAUAGAUUUUGAGAACUAAUUGCUUACUUCAUAUUUUAUAAGUAUAUUUGUUAUAUUUCGAUUGUUUAUGAAGAGUAAUAGAUCUGAUGUUAGGAAUAAUUAUCGUAUUUUGAUAAUUUUUAGUUUGAUUGUGUACGAAAUCGCAGGAUUUGAAUGAGGGUUUAAAUUCAAAGGAUAAACUCUUCAUCACUCUACUCUUUUGCUUUCGUUGCUGUAAGAUAGAAAUCAACUUCUUAGGUUCCAUUUUAAUGCUUGAAAUUUGUUGAAUUUGCUUCAAAAAAAGAAAAAAGGCACCUUAAUUUGUGUGUUUUUGCCCAAUCAGAGGCACCAUAAUUUAACUUGUUUUGUUAUUCAUGGUAUGAUUAAUUGUGAGCUGUUGUGACAAAAGAAUAUCUUUACAUAGCUUGGACACUUAAAUUAAUACUAAAGUAAUCAUCAUUUUGUGUGAUUUUGUAUGUUGAAAAUCUUAUGACGUUGCUAUAUACUGAUUAUAUCUACAUUUGAUCUCUUUUCUGAUCAUUGUUUUAAUUCUUUUGCUCGAAUUAUUAUUUAUUAGGAGUAGAAUGUAAUCAUAUAUUGAGCAAAUUGCUAAGUCUAAGAUGAAUACAUCGGACUAUAGUUGUUUUUUCCGAUGUAGUGAUUGUAAUCUAAGUUUUUCCCCCUCCUUCCUCCUGCAAACAUGAUGGUGAUAAUGAGUAUCCUCUUCUCAUGUUGCAGUAGGGAAUACAACUACAGCCAUUGGGAAGGGAUUUGCUAUAAGAUCUGCAACUCUGAUCUCCUUAGCUUUGUUUGGUGCCUUUGUCGAUCACGCAACUAUUUCAACCGUUGAUGUUUUGGCUCCUAAAGAUUUCGUCUGUUUGAUUGUUAAUGCCAUGCUUCCUUACUGAUUCUCUGCCAUGACUAUGAAGAUUAUGGGUAGUGCUGCACUUAAGAUGGUGAAGGAGGCCCGCAGACAAUUCAACACCAUCUCGAGUCUGAUGGAAGGAACUACCAAGCCUGAUUUUGACACUUCUGUUAAAAUCUAUACUGAUGCAUCUAUUAAGGAGAUAAUGCCACCUGAUGCGCUGGUCAUGCUCACCCCACUUUUUUUUGGGAAUCUUCUUUGGUGUUGAGAUCCUAUCUGGUAUUCUAGUUGGAUCCCUUGUUUCCGGAGUUCAGGUACUUGAGGGUAUGUUAGUGGUCUAUUUUAACCAUCAUGAAUGUGGUUUUGGAACCAUCGAGUUCGGUCAUCCAAUACCUUCAUUUUCCUUUCUUUCUAACAAGAGAGAGGAAAACGGGAAAGAAAAAGGAAAUGACUAUCCUCCAGGAAACUCUCGAUUUGGAAACCAUUAAUAAUGACUUAGCGCUAAACACAUCGUGAUGCAAGUAGACCCUGUUACUUCAUUCUCAAGGAGACAAAUUCUAAGCUGGAUUUUGAAAUCCAUUUGGUGGGAUUAAUUGGCUUGUGAUCACUUGUGUCAAUCAACGGGUUGCUGAUAGGAACACCAAUUUGCAUGCCACAAAUUAUUGUGCAUUUUAUUUAUUAGAUUUUGUGCUUGUACUUGUAUUCAUAUACCUUACCUAUCAAAGUGUAAACAAGUAGUCUUUUCUGUCCUUAAACAAGCAGUAUAAACUAUUUGUUCGAAUUUGAAGCAUAAAAAUGGGCAAAAUUGUACAUUGAAAUUAUCCUCUACAACAAUUUAUCAAACAUGUGGUUCAAACAAA